AUGAGCUGCUUUAUUACAAAAAUGGGGGCUUUCAUACUUUGGCUACUACUGUUCUUCAGUGCAUUUCCAAUUCAUUUCUCGUAUCAUAUUCCUCGCCAUGGUAGCCACUAUCGAAGAAUGUGUCCUCCACCGCUGCCUCCACGGCGAAGGCCACAGCCACCGCCACCUCCAGCUUGGUUUUACUUCUACUCUCCUCCUCCUCCAAGUCCCCCGCACUCCCCUCACCGUCCUUCCUCACCACCACCUAGGCCUCCAAAUCCUUGA
rnacentral:lncRNA from 1 species